UGCGAUGUGACUCGGUGGUAGAGCUCCUGCCUUGCAUGCACAAAGCUCUGGGUUUGAUCCCCAGCACCACAA
rnacentral:tRNA from 1 species